rnacentral:rRNA from 1 species
AGAGUUUGAUCCUGGCUCAGGAUGAACGCUGGCGGCGUGCUUAACACAUGCAAGUCGAACGGUGAAAGAGGAGCUUGCUCCUCUGGAUCAGUGGCGAACGGGUGAGUAACACGUGAGCAAUCUGCCCUGGACUCUGGGAUAAGCGUUGGAAACGACGUCUAAUACCGGAUACGCGACGCGAAGGCAUCUUCAGCGUCGGGAAAGAACUUCGGUCCAGGAUGAGCUCGCGGCCUAUCAGCUAGUUGGUGAGGUAACGGCCCACCAAGGCGACGACGGGUAGCCGGCCUGAGAGGGUGACCGGCCACACUGGGACUGAGACACGGCCCAGACUCCUACGGGAGGCAGCAGUGGGGAAUAUUGCACAAUGGGCGCAAGCCUGAUGCAGCAACGCCGCGUGAGGGACGACGGCCUUCGGGUUGUAAACCUCUUUUAGUAGGGAAGAAGCGAAAGUGACGGUACCUGCAGAAAAAGCACCGGCUAACUACGUGCCAGCAGCCGCGGUAAUACGUAGGGUGCAAGCGUUAUCCGGAAUUAUUGGGCGUAAAGAGCUCGUAGGCGGUUUGUCGCGUCUGCUGUGAAAACUGGAGGCUCAACCUCCAGCCUGCAGUGGGUACGGGCAAACUAGAGUGCGGUAGGGGAGAUUGGAAUUCCUGGUGUAGCGGUGGAAUGCGCAGAUAUCAGGAGGAACACCGAUGGCGAAGGCAGAUCUCUGGGCCGUAACUGACGCUGAGGAGCGAAAGCAUGGGGAGCGAACAGGAUUAGAUACCCUGGUAGUCG